GAUGAACGCUGGCGGCGUGCCUAAUACAUGCAAGUCGAGCGAAUGGACUAAGAGCUUGCUCUUAUGAAGUUAGCGGCGGACGGGUGAGUAACACGUGGGUAACCUGACCAUAAGACUGGGAUAACUCCGGGAAAUCGGGGCUAAUACCGGAUAAAAUUUUGAACCGCAUGGUUCGAAAUUGAAAGGCGGCUUCGGCUGUGAAUUAUGGCUUGACGCGCGUCGCAUUAGCUAGUUGGUGAGGUAACGGCGCACCAAGGCAACGAUGCGUAGCCGACCUGAGAGGGUGAUCGGCGACACUGGGACGGAGAAACGGCCCAGACUCCUACGGGAGGCAGCAGUAGGGAAUCGUCCGCAAUGGACGAAAGUCGGACGGAGCAACGCCGCGUGAGGGAUGAAGGCUUUCGGGUCGUAAAACUCUGUUGUUAGGGAAGAACAAGUGCUAGUUGAAUAAGCUGGCACCUUGACGGUACCUAACCAGAAAGCCACGGCUAACUACGUGCCAGCCGCCGCAGUAA
rnacentral:rRNA from 1 species